rnacentral:rRNA from 1 species
UACGUAGGGUGCAAGCGUUGUCCGGAAUUAUUGGGCGUAAAGAGCUCGUAGGCGGUCUGUCGCGCGGCUGUGAAAACCCGGAGCUCAACUCCGGGCCUGCAGUCGAUACGGGCAGACUGGAGUUCGGCAGGGGAGACUGGAAUUCCUGGUGUAGCGGUGAAAUGCGCAGAUAUCAGGAGGAACACCGGUGGCGAAAGGCGG